rnacentral:rRNA from 1 species
AAUCAACGCUGGCGGCGUGCCUAACACAUGCAAGUCGAACGCGAAAGGGACUUCGGUCCUGAGUAGAGUGGCGAACGGGUGAGUAACGCGUGGGUGACCUACCCUCGAGUGGGGGAUAACGUUCCGAAAGGGACGCUAAUACCGCAUGACAUUCCGGGUUUGAAGACCUGGAAAUCAAAGCCGGGGACCGCAAGGCCUGGCGCUAGAGGAGGGGCCCGCGUCUGAUUAGCUAGUUGGCGGGGUAACGGCCCACCAAGGCGACGAUCAGUAGCCGGCCUGAGAGGGCGGACGGCCACACUGGGACUGAGACACGGCCCAGACUCCUACGGGAGGCAGCAGUGGGGAAUUGUUCGCAAUGGGCGCAAGCCUGACGACGCAACGCCGCGUGGAGGAUGAAGGUCUUCGGAUUGUAAACUCCUGUUGAUCGGGACGAAAAGACUUCAACCUAAUACGUUGAGGACUGACGGUACCGGUUGAGGAAGCCACGGCUAACUCUGUGCCAGCAG